GCUGCUCUUUUUUCACCCUUGUCAGUGUCACAGCAGAAAAUGAUCUUUUCAUAACCAUUCAUAUCAAAUAUUUGAACCGUGAAGUGCUGACGCUGAGUAUAAUGGAAAACCAAGUGGUCUCCGACAACCAGAUCAUGCUUUGAUGCAAAUUCCGGCCACCCCUGUUGGAUAGCCAAUAGACCCUGAUAGUCACACACUGUUACCGGCCAUCGCAAUCCACUUGCAUCCUUUACAAGCGUUACCUUAUCGACCAGGUGUGAAGCUGAUCGAGCAAAGUUUGGGGGUACAAUCAGAACUUGGAAGCAACUUUUGUCAGUCAUUGCUUUAUAGAAAGAAGGAACCCUCUUUCUAUGUAUCAACAGGCAGUCCUUCUUGCACUUAUCACAUGCUACAUUCGCCGAUUCCAUCUCCUCCGUAUACAAAGUAUGCUUCCCCAACAACUCUUAAAUCCUUCUGAAACAGAGGAAACACCAGGGUGAGGGCAAUCAAAACCCUUAAAUAGGAGAAUUGUUGCACUGUUCAAAACA
rnacentral:misc_RNA from 1 species